rnacentral:rRNA from 1 species
GAGCACGUAGGUGGGUUUGUAAGUCAGAUGUGAAAGCCUUCUGUUCAACGGAAGAAUUGCAUCUGAAACUGCUAAUCUUGAGUAUAGGGGGGGAGAAUGGAACUUCUGGUGGAGCGGUGAAAUGCGUAGAUAUCAGAAGGAACGCCGGCGGCGAAAGCGAUUCUCUGGCCUAUUACUGACACUCAGUGUGCGAAAGCUAGGGAGCAAACGGGAUUAGAUACCCCGGUAGUCCUAGCCGUAAACGAUGGGCACUAAGUAGAGGGGU